UACGGGGGGGGCAAGCGUUGUUCGGAAUUACUGGGCGUAAAGGGCUCGUAGGCGGCCUUCUAAGUCAGACGUGAAAUCCCCCGGCUUAACCUGGGAACUGCGUCUGAUACUGGAGGGCUUGAGUAUGGGAGAGGGAUGUAGAAUUCCAGGUGUAGCGGUGAAAUGCGUAGAUAUCUGGAGGAAUACCGGUGGCGAAGGCGGCAUCCUGGACCAUUACUGACGCUGAGGCGCGAAAGCUAGGGGAGCAAACGGGG
rnacentral:rRNA from 1 species